rnacentral:tRNA from 1 species
UUAGAAAGACGGGACUUGAACCCGCACCUAAAAACUCAAAAUCCUUAGUACUCCCCUAUACUACUUUCUA